UGGGGGAUUGGAUUUGGAGGAGGGGAGGGAGAGUCGAAGAUCUGCAGUCAGUCUUCCUUCUCUGAGUGGAGUCACUGAGGGGUUCGCAGGUAAUGCCUACUGGUGUAGUCCCGACUAAACUGGAACUUACUCUGUAGACCAAGAUGACCUUGAACUCACAGAGAUCUACCUGUCUGUGCCUCCAGAGUGCUGAGACUAAAGGCAUGUGCAACUACUGUCUGGCUUUCAUCUUACUUUUUUAGUAAAAACUUGUGAUUUCGUCAUUUGUUUCUAUUAUAUAUUGCUAAUUUUCAUACUUACGUUUUAGAUUUGACAUUCUUAUUAGGAGGUAGAAAGCUUCUGUGUCUCCUGCCCUUGGAUCCUGCUAGGCGUGUGACUAUUUUGAUGAAGAAAAAAACCGAACAAACCACACACUCAGUGAAAGUGACACUGGUGACCUCUCAGGCUGGGUCUUAGAAGCAAGGGACAGUUUCUUCUUUACUGUUAUCACUUGCUUUAAGCUCCUCAGCCAUCACAAAAGAAGUCUGAUUACUUGGAGCCUACCAAAUAGGAAGGCACGUGUAUUAUUUUACUUUUUGUUGCUGUGAUAAACCGUCACAAUCAAAAGCAGUUGGGCUGGGGGAAGGGUUCAUUUUGCUUAUGGAUCCUGAUCACAACCCAACACUGAGGGAAGUCAAGACAGGAACCUGGAGGCCGCAACCGAGGCAGAGAACACAGAGAAGCGUUGCUUACUGGCUUUCUCAGUUUGCUUUCCUAUAUAAUCCAGAACAACUUGUUUAGGGCUGGCACUACCAACAAUAAAUUGGAGCAUCCCACAUCUACCCUCAAUCAAAAUACCCCAUAGACAGGCCAAUCUGAUGGAGCAAUUCCUCAAGUAGGAUUCUCUUUCCCCAGUGAACUCUAACAGUGUUGUGUUGGCUAACCAGCACAGCGUAUGUUAGGGACUCUAGCUGCCAGCCCCAGCUGAGUUUGUCUUUCUAUCCUCAAAAGGAGUCAGUCAUGUGGCUAUAGAGGUGAGAUUGAAAGUGGAAUCUCCUAUUUCUAGUGUCACAGGCAUAACCUUUGAAUUACUCUACAGCUGCCAGAGACUUUGUAGCUAAAGGUUGAGAUGUCCGUGAGCAGAGACAGAGCCUCACCUCCAUUUCCUGUUAAAAUUCCAACCAUCAGAAUGAAAAACACGUGUCUUUUGCCAGCACGUUCCCAGCUGGUUUGUUACGCAGCUAGGUAACCAAACUAAUAAAAACUAAUGAUAGUAACAUUAAUGCUCCUGCACAGGCAGUUCAGAGUGUGGCUUUCAGUUGGCCACUCGCCGUUGAUUUAUUAACAACUGCUUAUCUGCAAAUGUGAAGAAAAUUGUUUGGCUAGAGCCAGGUUUGCUCAGUAACUUCUCUUUUCACUUGGGCUUGAACUUGGCUUAGAGUCUUUGAAAAAUGGCUGCCAGACCGAGCUGGAAGAAACAUUUUAAAGCUUUAACUGUCUCUGUCUUAAGUCCUCUGGAAAGUCAACAAUGGCCCCCCCACUGACAGGUUCAUUCUUCACAGAUGGAUUUCCUUCUUCUGUGGUUUACGUGUGAGUAAGUCAAACAGCAAUAUUUAAAAGUAAACAUUCUAAAACAAUACGACCCAAAGAUAUACUAACUCCAAGGGUUAGGGUAGGAAAAUAUGAACAAGUCUUGUUUUCUGUGAUUAAAUCAUUUUGUUUCUAUACAGGCAGAAAACUUUGAGGGCAUAGUAAGCACAUUGCAACCAGACACAAUUGCCUUGAACUUGAGCUGCUUGUUGGGUGGCCUGCUGGUAUGCACAGUGCAAAGCAUACAUACUGUGUGCUCAGAACCAAGACUGCAGUGAACUCCUGACCUCAUGAGGGCUACAAUCCAUGGUUAAGAAGCUCGAGUCUAGGGAAAUAGUGUCUUUAGCCUAAUCUUGGUUUACUUAUUUGCUUCUGAACAAAAACUAAAGAGUAUUUCCUCCCUCCCUGCACGUACUGUUCCUUUUAAAAUGUAUUCAGAUGGUCUAUAUUUCCUUCUUCGUGGUCCUCAGAAAAGGCGGCCUUGUGGGAGUUGGAUUCCAAGUCUGCCAACACGUGAACCAGGCCUUUUCCCACUGAGGUAUCAGAGGGCACUGUCCAGGAAGUAUAUGAGAAUAAUGAAUGAUGUCUGUUUAACCAGGACUUUAGCACUUUUAACUCCAUGGUUGCUAUACAACACAAUUCUAUUCUUUAUCCCAUAUCUGUGCAAUUAGUUCCUCUUCUUUGGUACUGUCCCGCCCACACACUCAAAUCCUUGACCAAACUCAUCAGCAGUCCUUAUUCUGUUUAUUUGCAGGGUAAAUCAAGCAGAUUACUCAAUAAGGCGGCCUCCGAACUUCACUCAACUUAGUGAAGUUAAGUGAACUUAAGCAGUUCUAGAGUGCUUUCUGCUUUUACAGGGGGAAAUCCCUGAAUCAAUUGAGCUUUGGGUAAGGAAAAAGCACUUGACUGUAAAAUGGAUGAGUUCAGUCAGUUCUGUUUCUAACAUGGCCAUUGGGUCUCUUCAGCUUCACCCUCUCCUCUGACCAUGAGAAAAGUCUGCCUUUGCCUUUGCUCUGCUCCCUGCCAGUUGUUUUUUCUUAUCUCAGUCAUGAUGGCCUCUGAGGGCACAAGCCACGUCUUAUUUGUGGUGGUGAAUCUCCAUUGUACAGCAUGGUGCUAGUGCAUUCUAUCGGAUAGGAAAUUCCUCGAAGCAGGGACUUGGUCUGUUGUAAACGUGGAUUGGCAGCACCUGGAAUGGAGGUUGGGCUGUAGCUGGUGCCAGCUGAGCAUGUGCAGAAAGUCCGAGUUCAUAAAAGAGUAAGUGAGAGCAAUUAAAAAAAAAAGUUAUUGUGAAAGAAGGGAAACUGGGUUUAUACAUGCUUCUUAGUAAAUGCUAGUUCUAAUGAAGCUGAGCUGAACUUCGUGGAAUAAAAAAAGGACAAAGAAAGAAAUGGGGACUGAGACAGAGUCAGGGAUGCAGGGGGAUGAUAAAAAUAUGGCGGGAGGUGCUGGUGAUCAGUGGUGUACAUAUUUGUCUAAACUAGCAGAAACAGACUUAUUAAAUCUGAAACAGUCAAUGUCUUAGGGGAAAACCUAUAUGACAAUUGUAUGGAUGAUUACUUUUUUUUCAGUUUAAAAAAUUGUAUGGAUAUGUGUUUUGCCAGCACAUAUGUAUGUACACCAUGUGCAUGCUGGGUAUCCAGGGAGGUCAGAAAAGGGCAUUGGAUCCCCUCAAACUGGCACUGCAGGUGUCUGUAAGCUGCUAAGUGGGUGCUGGAAACAGAACCUGGGUCCCCUGCAAGUGCUAUAUGUGCUCUUGACUGAUGAGACAUUCUUCUAACUCCUUCAUGAAUGCUUUUAGAGUUUUUCUGACUGACGAUAAACUGGUGAAAUGUUUUUAAAGGACUUGAUGUGUGAAGGAAAGAUUGUUGACACUUAAUAUAGGAAUUGAAAAAAUUAAAACACGUAAGUAAACCAGGCUUGGCAGUUCAUAUCUGUGAUCCCUGCCCCUGGGAGGCUGAGGUAGGAGAGGAGGAUCAUGGGGUUAAAGUCAUCCUUUACUGCAUAUAGUGAGUUUAAAGCCAGGAUGGGCUAUAGGACACCUUGUUUCAAAAAAUAAAAAUGAGAGAGAGGGGAGAGAGAGAGAGAGAGAGAGAGAGAGAGAGAGAGAGAGAGAGAGAGAGAGAGAGAGGAGUGUUAGUUAAAGACAUAUUAGAGGUGUUGAUAAGAUCAUCCAGAGAAGACACAAAACUACUCAGUGGGAGACUUCAGGGGCUUUCAAGGGUAAUUUGAGUUACAUGAGAUUUUUUUCCCCUCAUUUUUUUGGGCUUACAUGCCCCAUCCUAGGAUAAGAUGUGACUCUCUUUAUAAAGAAUAAAGAAAGUCAAGAAAUAAGGAAGGAAAGAAGGAAGAAAGAGAAGACUAGAAUUUGACCUAAGUUUACACUGAAGUUGGUAGGGUUGUUAGAGGAAUAUUGAGAGCAGAAGAGGUCCUGAUGUCUCCCUUUCUAGAUUGUAAGUGUUCAGGAAGGGCCUCGAACUUGAACAAAACCGAAGUCUCAGCAGUUAUGAAAUCGAAGCAGUUCCCUUAGUGUGUUGUGUUGUCAUUGGAGAAUAAAGAGGUCUUGUUUCCUUUUCACUCAUUGGUGCUUCCUUGGGAUCUUCCAAUGCCACUUCUACUAAAUGUCUUGUCUUCUAAUUUCUAAUCAUACAGUUCGCAUGCAACAUGAAGCCUCUGUGAAGGUUUUAGACUUCCUGGUUCCUCCGAGCACUCUUUAUGUAAGUCACUGUGGUUGGCAGGCCUGAGUGGGAAUGCAUGUUCCCAUGAGAAAAGCUAAUCAUGGCGGCAAAGGCUGGAGUUGUGAUGGAGGACAGACACAGGGUGACACAGAUUCAGUGAGCCCUGGGACACACCAGGAUGCCUUUCAAAAAUGAGAUAAAAGUUGACGUAAAGAUGAAUUUGUUUCUUUGUCAUGGGGGCCAGAUUUCAAGUUUCCUCUUGGAAUUUGUGGCCCUAGUUUUGUGUCAGGAUGCCCAUUUAGUAAGGACAUCCAACGGUUUUGGUUCACACUGACUGAGAAACCACCAAGGCUUUUUUUUUUUUCCACUCCAAAAGGAAGAUGAGCAACAGACAAGCAAUUAUGACGUCGCCACCCAUAAAACAUAGGAAGCUACUUUUGUGACCUCAUCAUGAAUUCUGAAACGUGUUAGUGACUCGGAUGCCCUCAUUACUGAAAGUUACAGUGCGAUGUCUGACUGUUCAGCGAAAAUGAAGAAUGGUGAAAACGCAAAUCCCUCAGCAUUCACGGUACAGACUUAAUGAUGGAAAAGACCCAGUUGGCUUUGAUACCACUGGGAUUGAAAUUUCAGACUCGGAGGAUGACUCACUGCUUUGCUGUGUCAUGAGUUUCAUUCUGAAAUGAAAUACACUCUGUGGUUUCAUUUGAGGCUUCGUGUUGAUGCAAAAAGGAAAUGAGCCCAUAUUGGGAAGUUGGGUUGAAAUACACAUGUUGUACCAAGUUGUUACCCGGCCAUCCUUACGCCCUGUGCUUUGGUCUUACCACACUGUUUUAGCAUCAGUUCACACCUAUCAGUCUUCCUCCCUUGUCUGGGAAUUGGGUUAAGCAACUAGAAUGUGUGCAGAGAGCAGCCUGGGAAUGAAGCACCAAUUAUCAUCUCUGUGUGGAUGAUGUCCUGGCCUCAGACCUUCCUGGGUUGGUACUGAGGCUGGGAUGAUAAUGAUGUGCCAAACCUCAGCGUGCGGCUGUUAGGAGGAUCAAAUGAGACCAUCCAUUCACCUCACACCUUCAACCCUGAGUACCAAUAAAUGCGAGCACUUAGUGACAAAAAAGGGAACAGGAAGCAUCAGUAAUAAGUCCCUGAGAGAUGUUUUUAACCUUAAUUUGUUAUCUGAUUGAUUCAGUGUGUGGAUGUGAUGUGAUGUGUGGGAGUGUAUCUUUGUGUAUGCGAUUGUGGGGAGAACAGAGGUUAAUGGUAGGCAUCUUCCUCUAGCUCUCUCCACCUUACUUUUUGUGAUGGAGUUUCUCAUUGUACCUAGAGCUCACCAUUUCAGCUAAACUCAGCUAGCCAAUGCCCUCCGGGGACCCACUUUUCUCUGCCUGUCCAUUUUCCCCAGCACAAUUGAUAUGGACAUGAAUUGGCAUGCCUGCCUUUUUAUGGGUGCUGGAGAUCUGAACGCAGACUCACAGCUGUACAGCAAGCAUUUUAUCCAGAGAGGUAUCUCCCACAUCUUCCAUUUGACUUUAAUCCGCAGAUAAUAUAUUGCUAAUCCACAGGUAAUAUAUUGUUUUGAUUAAAUAUGGCAUGUACUGUUCUCAUGUAAUACAGUGCCAUUAUAAUGAGUAUACACAAAGAAUUUUAGAAUGUGAAAACACUUAAAAACCACAUAAUCUGUUAUUUUUAAGUAAACGAGUCUAGCUACAUCAUUGGUAGGCUUUGAUGAUGUGCUCUGAGAUCAGAAUUUGUGCAGGUAAACUGCACUGGUUAUGGCUGUCUGAAGCUCUCAUAAGACUGCAGAUUUAAAAUUCAGAGAGUGGCCUCUUUUCUGAUAACUUAAAGGCUGUCUUUGUCAUUUAAAGUAGAAUGACCAUGCAGUCUAAGAGAGAAACAUGCAGUUUUACUUUUAAAUAUUUAUUUUACUUGUAAUUAUGUGUCUGUGUCUGAACACAGGUACCUGAGGGGCCCAGAGAUAUAGGAUCCCUUGGAACGGGAGUUAUAGGAAGUUGUGAGCUGUCCUAAGUGGCUGUUGAAACUCAAACUUCGGUUUUAUGGAAAAGCAGUACACACUCUGCAGAGCCAUGUCUUUGUCCCCGACAUCUAUCUAUCUAUCUAUCUAUCUAUCUAUCUAUCUAUCUAUCUAUCUAUCUAUCUAUCUUUCUUUCUUUCUUUCUUUCUUUCUUUCUUUCUUUCUUUCUUUCUUCCUUCCUUCCUUCCUUCCUUCCUUCCUUCCUUCCUUCCUUCUUUCUUUCUUUCUUUUACAUGUUUAUAUCUAUGUGUUUGGUGUAUGUGCGCAAUUUGAUGUAUCUACAUGGAUGUGUCCAUAUGUGGAAGACAGAAGAUGAUGCGUGCUAUCUCUGGCUUAUUUCUUUGAGGCAAAGUCUCUGGAGCUUGGCUGGUGACCAGUAAGCCCCAGUGAUUCUCCUGUCAUACGCCCCACAGUUUUGGGAUUACAGGUGUAUGUGGUCAGCCUGGAUUUUUAUGUGUUUCUGGGGACUUGAACCCAUGUCCUCAGGCCAUCAGGCUUAUGCAGCAAGAGCUAUUACUCACUAAACCAUCUUCUAGCCCAAGAGUAACAGUUUUAGUUUUUGAAGUAGAAUAACUGCUAUAGAAAGUAUCUAAGAGAAUUGUUGAUGUCUGAUAAUUUUUUCAUAAUCAAAAUUUUAUUUCUUAAUCUAUAUAAACAUGCUUUCUCCCUUUUCAAGAGAUCCACUUUCUUCAGGGAGAUCCUCUUUAUUGUAUGUCUAAUUGAGGAUGUAGCCAGUCCUUGUGAGGCUGAGCAAACUUCCUGUCCUCAGUGUCUUCCGGAUACUCUUGUCCUUUGCCUAAGAAGGUAAACUGGACUUCCUUCUCUAGAACUCUUGUCUUGAUUCUGUUCCUGCUUACCUCCUUUCAGUUUUGUGCCAUCUUUCUGGCCCUAUCUCUAUUCUAUCUCCAUUCUUUCUUCUACCCACACUAUGCCCAGGGCCCUACCUAUCCUACUAUAACCCUCCUUUGACCCUGCUGCUAGAGCAGGCUUCAACCUUAUCUCUCUUCCGUUGUUCACACCACACUUGUGAGAGUACCUACUAUUGCUUUCAGUUCUUCUUCACAAAAGCCCUCUGAAUCCAUUGCAAUAUGGUUUCUUCUUGUAUUUCCCUAUCCAACCUUUUGUGGAAACCAACAGGAAUUCCACAUGCAGGCUAGAUAUGAAAAAGUCCUAAAUACUCUUUCAUCUCUGGGGAAAAGUUGACCUCUUAGAGUCUUCUCUUCUCAAGGUUCUGUGUACCUUUCAAUUUUCCAAGAGCAUCCCUUUCACACACCUACCUCCAAUAGCUGCUUUCUCUUCCGGCUCCAUAAUGGAAAUAUUUCUUUCUCUCCAUCCUUUGCCCCAGAAGACUUCUGGUCCACUCAUUGCUGUGUGCUCCAAUCCCUUCUGUUGCUUUUCAUCUAAAUUGCCCGCCCACCCCUGCUUGAUGAUUCAUACAUUUUUAACAAAUGUAUUUUCCACUUGUUAUUUGGGCUUCCUUAGGCAACUACCAGUUCAAACUCAGCAUAUGUAAAACAAAAGCCAGGGAUACCACCAAACCCCUUCAGUCUUCAUGGUUGCUUCUGUGUGCUCUCAAUGGUAUCACUAUUAAUGAGUCAUCUUCUAAAGUCUUAAGUGGUUUUAAGAUUUUUUUCAUCAUAUCUUAUACUCCAGGCAGAAGGAAUUGCAGUGAUGUUGGCUUUAUGGUCCAUAGAACAUAGGGUUUCUGUUUUAGCAUCAGGGGGUUGCUGCUUACUAAUGACCCUUCUGUCCUGAGCAAGUUAAGUCAGCUUGUGGAAUCUUGGUAUUCUUACGUGUAGAGUAGGAAGUUAACAUUCCCUGUACGGCCAUAAUGAGAGCUGCAUAGUUUAUCUCUAUUACUUUCUCCAGGUCAUGGCUCUCAUUUCCACUUUUUUAUCCGUCCUUCCCUGGAAUUAUUUGAUCCAAAGGGUUUUAUGCAGUUGCCGGCAUGUAGGUAUUCCUCGCCUGUUGUGUCUUUCUUCUUUCUUCCUUAAGCUGCUUCCUCUUCAGCUCACGUCUGCAUUGCUUCUAGUGUGACGAAAGGCUGUGCUGCUAGCACGACUCUGCUUCCUCUCCUAGGCACUUGGGUUUCAUUCUUAAAAACCAUCUUAGACGUUUGUUCCUACUAAGACGUGUCUCCUGAUCAUCCAAAUGCUUGGAACUUCUCUCCUCUGUGUGGAUACAAACUUUGUACCCUCUUCCUUGUCUUGCUAAAAACUAAUUUUAGUGGUUAUUUAUGUAAUUGUUCAUUCUUACCCACUCUUUACUCCAAGAGACCAUACGAUUUUGGAGACAAUAUUUGAUAAUGUAUCAAUUAAAUAUUAUUUAAAGUGUGACGGUUGGAACAAACUAAGUGCUUCAUAUGUGGUAGGCAAGUACUCUACCACUGGGCUGCAUCUCUAAGCCUGUACCUACUAUCUUUUUCUGCUUUCGUUUGUUUAUCUUUAAAAUUAGCACACAGAGCGUUAGGUUUCUCAACAGUAUUUUUUACUAAUUGUGGUUUUGAUUCUCCUCCCUUCUCCUCCCUCAUCUCUCUGAACCACCCUUGUACCCUUCCACGCCCAAUAACCUUCGCAGUCAUGACAUAUGGGAUCUGUUACUUUCUCCCAUCCUGCGGAACCUCUACUUUCUAUCUCUUGGUUCUCUUUUAGUUUCAUGACCCAUACUUGCCUAUUUCUUUCCUGUUUGUUAAUAAUGGUAAUAAUAAUGCUAAUAGACGAAGGCAGAAGUAGUUUUUUUGGGCUAUGCAGCAUUAUUUGGAUUGGGUUAGAAAAGCAGAAAAGCAUUAUUUGUUCUAAGAUGAGUAGAACCAGCUACGACUGUGCUGACAGAGUAAGGUCAUUUUUGGGAGCUGUCUCUAUCUCUAGCUCUGUUCUAACCAUUGACACAGCAUGAGGACCACUGUCCCCAGCAGAACAUAUGAUAGCAAAUUGCUCUGUAUUUGAAAAUAAAGGAAACGUUGUAAGAAGGAUGAGAUGCAGCAGAGAAAGGAAAAGACUGGGCACCGAAAGGCAAGGUAUGGGUCAACAAGGUAUAGUCACCACAGCCCCAUCUGCUUCCUGUCCCAGGUUUUGUCAAGCAGGCUGAAGGGGUACUGAAGUUCCUGUUGUCAUUGAGCAGAGGCAAUUUCUUUGUAAGGUAUGGAGAUAGCCUAAUUCAUGAAGGAGUUUAAGGUUUGGGGAUUGUGAGUAGACAACGGUUUAUGACAAAACUACUUGAUGCCACAUUCUCCAGGAAGGGUCUAAGAGCAGGAUCAAACAUGCCAGCAGACAUUGACGUUGGUGGUCAUUUAUCAUCACUGAGACAAUUUAGCAUGACUCAACUUGGGUUCAAUCAUAAUUGAACUUUCUACCC